AGCAGCAUGGCUUAGUAGAAGGAGCCUGGGCUGGGAAGUCAGAGAUCAUGGGUUAUAAUCCCACUUCUGCCA
rnacentral:tRNA from 1 species